GACAGAGGUGCCGAGCGUUAUGCGGAAUCACUGGGCUUAAAGCGUGUGUAGGCGGACUUCUAAGUACCUUGUGAAAUCCCACGGCUUAACCGUGGAACUGCUUGGUAUACUGGUUGUCUUGGGCCAUCUAGGGGCUAGCGGAACAAACGGUGGAGCGGUGAAAUGCGUAGAUAUCGUUUGGAACGCCAAUGGUGAAAACAGCUAGCUGGGGAUGUGCCGACGCUGAGACACGAAAGCCAGGGGAGCGAACGGG
rnacentral:rRNA from 1 species